GGGCCCAUAGCUCAGCUGGUUAGAGCAACUGACUCAUAAUCAGUAGGUCGCAGGUUCAAGUCCUGCUGGGCCCACAA
rnacentral:tRNA from 1 species